GACGAACGCUGGCGGUGUGCUUAACACAUGCAAGUGGAGCGACGAACCAGAGCUUGCUCUGGGGCAGAGCCGCGAACGGGUGAGUAACACGUGGGUAACGUACCCCGAUUACCGGGACAACCCGAGGAAACUCGGGCUAAUACCGGAUGUGCUCCCUCCCCAUGAGGGGAGUGAGUAAAGGAAGCUUCGGCCUCCGAAUCGGGAGCGGCCCGCGGCCUAUUAGUUUGUUGGUGGGGUAACGGCCUACCAAGACUGCGAUAGGUAGCUGGUCUGAGAGGACGAUCAGCCACACUGGGACUGAGACACGGCCCAGACUCCUACGGGAGGCAGCAGUGGGGAAUCUUGCGCAAUGCGCGAAAGCGUGACGCAGCAACACCGCGUGGGGGAA
rnacentral:rRNA from 1 species